rnacentral:lncRNA from 1 species
GCACUUGAAAAGUAUGUACUAUUAUCACUUUAUUGUAGCGUUUAUAGUACUUGGUUUCAUUUGUGUCUAACAGCUUUAUUGAGGUAUAAUUUACAUUCUGUAACAUCCACUUUACAGUAUGCACUUUGGGGUUUUUUAGUAGAUUUUGAGUUGUGCCAUGUUGACCACAACUCAGUUGUAGAACAUUUCCAUUGUUUUAAAAACAUCCCUUUUGCCUAUUUACAGUAAAUUCCUGUUCCUAUCCCCAACCCCGGGACACCUUAACUAAUAUGCUUUCUCUAUAGAGUUCUCUUUUCUGGACAAUUAAUAGAAUCAUACAGUAUGUAGUGUUUUGCAUUUACCUUUCGAUAUAAGGUUUUUGAGGUUCAUCCAUUUUUUAAAAAUCAUGCAUCAGUAACUUGUUUUUUCUUAUUGCUGCAUGGUAUUACAUUGUAUGGAUAUACCACAUUUUGCUUAUUCAUUCACAAGUUGAUAGACCCUGAAUUGUUCAGGCUAUAAUCAAUAAUGUUGCUAUGAACAUUCAUAUAUCAGCCCUUGUGUGAAUAUGUGUUUUUAUUUAUUUAGGGUAAAUACCUAGGAGUGGAAUUGUUGGGUUGGAUGGUGAAUUCAGGUUUAACUUUUUAAGAAAUUGCACAGUUUUUCAAAGAGGCUGUAUAAUUUUAUAUUCCCAUCAGCAAUGUUUGAGAUUUCCAGUUUCUCCACAUCUUUGGCAGCACUGUUACUAUUUUGUCUUUUUUAUUAUAGCCUUUAUAGUGGCUGUGGAAUAUAAUAAUUGUAUUAAUUUACAUUUCUGUAGCGACUAAUGAUGUUGAAGGUCUUUUCAUGUGCUUUUAGUUCUAUUUACAUCUUCUUGGAAGUAUCUAUUCAAAUCUUUGGCUCAGUCUUUAAUUGGUUGUCUUACUGAGUUAUAAGAAGUUCUUUUUAAAAAUUUAUUUAUUUUAAUUAGAGACAGG